UACGUAGGGGGCAAGCGUUAUCCGGAUUUAUUGGGUUUAAAGGGUGCGUAGGCGGCAUUAUAAGUUAGUGGUAAAAUAUUGGGGCUUCACCUCACUACGCCAUUAAUACUGUAGAGCUAGAGAACAGACGAGGUAGGCGGAAUAAGUUAAGUAGCGGUGAAAUGCUUAGAUAUAACUUAGAACUCCGAUAGCGAAGGCAGCUUACCAGACUGCGACUGACGCUGAAGCACGAGAGCGUGGGUAGCGAACAGG
rnacentral:rRNA from 1 species